rnacentral:rRNA from 1 species
CGGGAUGAGCUCAAAUUUGUAAUCUGGUGGACUCAGUUCAUCCGAAUUGUAAUCUAUAGAAAAGUUUUCCGCGCUGGACCGUGUCUAAGUCCCUUGGAACAGGGUGUCAGAGAGGGUGAGAAUCCCGUGCUUGAUACGACCACCAGUGCUAUGUGAUACUUUUUCAAC